ensembl:lincRNA
CUGACCUGGGGUGGGGGUAGAGGAAAUCCUGAGCCAUUCUUCUCUUCCCUGCUCCAGUAGAAGGGUGCUCAAGGCUGCAGCCCCCUAAGGGCAUCUACUUGGGAGCUUAGCUGGCUUUGGGAGUCAGUAGGCAUCGUUCAUGGCAGAGGUCAAGAAAUGCCUGCUACGUGAACAUCUCAGAAGCCCAUCUAUCUACCAGAUACCCAUAGAAUUCUGUAGUGUGUGGUUGGGAGAGGCGGAGCUACAAAGUCACAUGCCAGCCAUGGAAGGAAUAUUUUCUUUUGUUGCUAACAAAGUGCACUUUAGAAAAUGUCUUGCUUUCUUCUCUGGUUCUGUCCUGUUCCCAGGUUUGAAAAACAUGGGCUUGUAAUUGUCACCUGUCAUGGAAAAGAAGUGGGGACCAAGCAUGAGAAAUCCAACAGGGAGCUUAGGGAUCCCUGGUUCCAAGAGAGAAAAACACAGUUGUGCGAUGACAGAAUGCACUGGGAAGAAACUGCCAAGAAAAUCCCUUUGCCCAGGCCUGGCUCUGGUGUCCUGCUGCCAUCUGGGAUUAUCUAAAGUGGGUGUCCUUGGAGAGAGCUGGUAGUCUCUUGUACUGCAGACAGUUGAAACCUGGCCCCAUUUGACUGUUUAAAAAGCUGCAGAGAAUUAAACAAAGAAGCCUUUAGAGGGAGGAAAGAGUCCUUUGGGGGCACUUUGUUUGCUUUGGUUUCUGCCCCCAACCUGGAAUGCAGUAAAAACCUGGAGAAGUCAGCAUAAGAAGAAGCCUUGCAAGGACUGAAACCUCUCCUGCCAAAGUGAAUGGUGAGGAGCUCUUUCUGUGUUCUGGUUUUAUAAUCAUUUCUGUUUAUAGUGGGAAAGAAAUAUCUCCCUUCUUGAAUUCAACACAUGUAGCCUUUUCUUCUCUACUCCCCUCCUUACGCAAACAUUAUAGGGCCCAGUCCUUCAAUGGGUUAUUAUUGAGCAGCUAAUGUUAAAUACAGGCAAAGGCAGCUGAUUGAAUGGAGCGCCUGUCUCGCUCAGGUGGUGAAAGUGCCAUUCAUGCCUGGGAGGUGAGGACUGCAAAUGGUGGUCACUAGAGUCAACAUAAUUGCCUAGAUGGGUGGGGAGUACAGUGACUUCCAUGCUCUUUUCAAAGUUCAAGACAAGGUACGAGGGCUAGAUGAUGGGACCAAAUAUCAAUCUGAGGACCACUGGUCCUUGAGCUCUUGAUUUAGCCAGGGCCCUGCGAAAAUGAGAAUCAGAGCUGGGAAUUUAGCUCAGUGGCAUAAGAGCCUGCCUGGCAAGCACAAGGUCAUGAGUUUGAUCCUGGGUACCAGAGACAGAGAGAGAGAGAGAGAGAGAGAGAGAGAGAGAGAGAGAGAGAGAGAGAAUCAGAGCUGUGUCUGGGCUGUGAGUGGUUCUGGCUCCCUUCCUCUCCUCUCUCCCCACCCUGUCCUCCUAGCUCAGAUUAUAUAAACUCUCAGAACUAUGACAAGCAAAUAAGAAAUCCAAAUGUCUCCCUAGAACUUUGUGGAAUUGUUUUAAUAGGCACUUCUAUGGGCUGUCAAACCUUGGCCUUGAAUCCUUCUCUCUGAGAUCCCUGUGGAGAGAGGAUGCAAUAAAGCAGAGUAAAUAAAUACAGAGAUUGUGAACAAGCUGGCUUAAAGUGAGACUGUUCCUAGAGCCACCUCAGCACAGGCUGCUUCACACAAGCCACAGGCCUCUUUCUCAGUGCCUGCUGGCUGUGCUUGUGCUGUGCUGACCCCAGCAGGCACUGGGUGCCCUGUAAGGGACAGGCCCUUCUUCCCCUCUAGGGCAGACCUCUGAGCUCUACUAGUGCCCUGUUGAGUUAUUACCAGUUUGUUCCUUGCUAAGAAGCAAAGUAUCUCUUCUCAUUCUGC